rnacentral:rRNA from 1 species
UUAAGCGACUAAGCGUACACGGUGGAUGCCCUGGCAGUCAGAGGCGAUGAAGGACGUGCUAAUCUGCGAUAAGCGUCGGUAAGGUGAUAUGAACCGUUAUAACCGGCGAUUUCCGAAUGGGGAAACCCAGUGUGAUUCGUCACACUAUCAUUAACUGAAUCCAUAGGUUAAUGAGGCGAACCGGGGGAACUGAAACAUCUAAGUACCCCGAGGAAAAGAAAUCAACCGAGAUUCCCCCAGUAGCGGCGAGCGAACGGGGAGCAGCCCAGAGCCUGAAUCAGUGUGUGUGUUAGUGGAAGCGUCUGGAAAGGCGCGCGAUACAGGGUGACAGCCCCGUACACAAAAAUGCACAUACUGUGAGCUCGAUGAGUAGGGCGGGACACGUGGUAUCCUGUCUGAAUAUGGGGGGACCAUCCUCCAAGGCUAAAUACUCCUGACUGACCGAUAGUGAACCAGUACCGUGAGGGAAAGGCGAAAAGAACCCCGGCGAGGGGAGUGAAAAAGAACCUGAAACCGUGUACGUACAAGCAGUGGGAGCACAGAGCAAUCUGUGUGACUGCGUACCUUUUGUAUAAUGGGUCAGCGACUUAUAUUCUGUAGCAAGGUUAACCGAAUAGGGGAGCCGAAGGGAAACCGAGUCUUAACUGGGCGUUAAGUUGCAGGGUAUAGACCCGAAACCCGGUGAUCUAGCCAUGGGCAGGUUGAAGGUUGGGUAACACUAACUGGAGGACCGAACCGACUAAUGUUGAAAAAUUAGCGGAUGACUUGUGGCUGGGGGUGAAAGGCCAAUCAAACCGGGAGAUAGCUGGUUCUCCCCGAAAGCUAUUUAGGUAGCGCCUCGUGAAUUCAUCUCCGGGGGUAGAGCACUGUUUCGGCUAGGGGGUCAUCCCGACUUACCAACCCGAUGCAAACUGCGAAUACCGGAGAAUGUUAUCACGGGAGACACACGGCGGGUGCUAACGUCCGUCGUGAAGAGGGAAACAACCCAGACCGCCAGCUAAGGUCCCAAAGUCAUGGUUAAGUGGGAAACGAUGUGGGAAGGCCCAGACAGCCAGGAUGUUGGCUUAGAAGCAGCCAUCAUUUAAAGAAAGCGUAAUAGCUCACUGGUCGAGUCGGCCUGCGCGGAAGAUGUAACGGGGCUAAACCAUGCACCGAAGCUGCGGCAGCGACGCUUAUGCGUUGUUGGGUAGGGGAGCGUUCUGUAAGCCUGCGAAGGUGUGCUGUGAGGCAUGCUGGAGGUAUCAGAAGUGCGAAUGCUGACAUAAGUAACGAUAAAGCGGGUGAAAAGCCCGCUCGCCGGAAGACCAAGGGUUCCUGUCCAACGUUAAUCGGGGCAGGGUGAGUCGACCCCUAAGGCGAGGCCGAAAGGCGUAGUCGAUGGGAAACAGGUUAAUAUUCCUGUACUUGGUGUUACUGCGAAGGGGGGACGGAGAAGGCUAUGUUGGCCGGGCGACGGUUGUCCCGGUUUAAGCGUGUAGGCUGGUUUUCCAGGCAAAUCCGGAAAAUCAAGGCUGAGGCGUGAUGACGAGGCACUACGGUGCUGAAGCAACAAAUGCCCUGCUUCCAGGAAAAGCCUCUAAGCAUCAGGUAACAUCAAAUCGUACCCCAAACCGACACAGGUGGUCAGGUAGAGAAUACCAAGGCGCUUGAGAGAACUCGGGUGAAGGAACUAGGCAAAAUGGUGCCGUAACUUCGGGAGAAGGCACGCUGAUAUGUAGGUGAAGUCCCUCGCGGAUGGAGCUGAAAUCAGUCGAAGAUACCAGCUGGCUGCAACUGUUUAUUAAAAACACAGCACUGUGCAAACACGAAAGUGGACGUAUACGGUGUGACGCCUGCCCGGUGCCGGAAGGUUAAUUGAUGGGGUCAGCGCAAGCGAAGCUCUUGAUCGAAGCCCCGGUAAACGGCGGCCGUAACUAUAACGGUCCUAAGGUAGCGAAAUUCCUUGUCGGGU